rnacentral:lncRNA from 10 species
CAAUAAGUGCUAUUGCAGAACUAUAGCUGGUUGAUCAGAGCCAAGAGUGACCAUAGCCUACUGUCAGGAUGGGGAUCAGGAAGGUCUCUCUAAGGGGGGCAGCUCCAAACUGAGACCUUGAUUUACAAAAACGAUGCAGCUACAGGAUAAUCAGGGAAGACCACUCCAGCUGGAGGGAGUUACUGGUGCAAAUGUCAGAGUGCCCAAGCAUGAAAUCCCACUCGUGUGCACUGUGAUCAGGCAUUGCCUUGCUGUGAUAAUAACUCCCCUGGGCCGAGAGCUACAAUAAAAAGAAAACGAAGAUAAAGAAACAGAGGGAAACAGAAACCAUCCAUAAUCCUACUCCUUCAAAGACAGCUACAGUCAAAUUCUCAUGUAACUCCUUCUCUUUUGGCAAGAAUAUUAUACCCUACAAAGGUCUCUGGUGUGGAUUUAAAAUACUACAAGUCACCCAAUAUUACGAAUAAAAGAAAC